rnacentral:rRNA from 1 species
AGCAGCCGCGGUAAUUCCAGCUCCAAUAGCGUAUAUUAAAGUUGUUGCAGUUAAAAAGCUCGUAGUUGAACUUCGGGACCAGUGGGUUGGUCGUGCCUCUGGUACGUACUGGCCUUACCGGUUCCUCCCUUCUGACGAACCACGAUGCCAUUAAUUUGGUGUUGUGGGGAAUCAGGACUGUUACUUUGAAAAAAUUAGAGUGUUUAAAGCAGGCUAAAGCUUGAAUAGAUUAGCAUGGAAUAAUGAAAUAGGACGUUUGAUCUUAUUUUGUUGGUUUCUAAGAUCGACGUAAUGAUUAAUAGGGAUAGUUGGGGAAUCUGUCCUUGAAUACAUUAGCAUGGAAUAAUGAAAUAGGACAUCCGAUUCUAUUUUGUUGGUUUCUAGGAUCGAUGUA